GAUGAACGCUGGCGGCGCGCCUAACACAUGCAAGUCGAACGAUUAAAGCACCUUCGGGUGUGUAUAAAGUGGCGAACGGCUGAGUAACACGUGGGCAACCUGCCCCUCUCAUUGGGAUAGCCACGGGAAACCGUGGGUAAUACCGAAUACUUCGAGACUUCCGCAUGGAAGACUCGAGAAAGCUCCGGCGGAGAGGGAUGGGCCCGCGGCCUGUUAGCUUGUUGGUGGGGUAACGGCCUACCAAGGCAAUGAUGGGUAGCUGGGUUGAGAGACCGACCAGCCAGAUUGGGACUGAGACACGGCCCAGACUCCUACGGGAGGCAGCAGUGGGGAAUCUUGCACAAUGGGCGAAAGCCUGAUGCAGCGACGCCGCGUGCGGGAUGAAGGCCUUCGGGUUGUAAACCGCUUUCAGCAGGGACGAGGCGAAAGUGACGGUACCUGCAGAAGAAGCCCCGGCUAACUACGUGCCAGCAGCCGCGGUAAUACGUAGGGGGCAAGCGUUAUCCGGAUUCAUUGGGCGUAAAGCGCUCGUAGGCGGUCUGUUAGGUCGGGAGUUAAAUCCGGGGGCUCAACCCCCGUUCGCUCCCGAUACCGGCAGACUUGAGUUUGGUAGGGGAAGGUGGAAUUCCUAGUGUAGCGGUGGAAUGCGCAGAUAUUAGGAAGAACACCAGUGGCGAAGGCGGCCUUCUGGGCCAUAACUGACGCUGAGAAGCGAAAGCUAGGGGAGCAAACAGG
rnacentral:rRNA from 1 species